AUUGAACGCUGGCGGAAUGCUUUACACAUGCAAGUCGAACGGCAGCACGGGGGCAACCCUGGUGGCGAGUGGCGAACGGGUGAGUAAUACAUCGGAACGUGCCCAGUCGUGGGGGAUAACGUAGCGAAAGCCACGCUAAUACCGCAUACGAUCUCUGGAUGAAAGCGGGGGACCGCAAGGCCUCGCGCGAUUGGAGCGGCCGAUGGCAGAUUAGGUAGUGGGUGGGGUAAAGGCCUACCAAGCCGACGAUCUGUAGCUGGUCUGAGAGGACGACCAGCCACACUGGGACUGAGACACGGCCCAGACUCCUACGGGAGGCAGCAGUGGGGAAUUUUGGACAAUGGGCGAAAGCCUGAUCCAGCCAUUCCGCGUGCAGGAUGAAGGCCCUCGGGUUGUAAACUGCUUUUGUACGGAACGAAAAGGCUCUUUCUAAUACAGAGAGCUCAUGACGGUACCGUAAGAAUAAGCACCGGCUAACUACGUGCCAGCAGCCGCGGUAACAC
rnacentral:rRNA from 1 species